AUGGUUUCUGGUAUUCAGAGUUAGCCUGAGAAACGGCUAACACCAAGGAAGCAGCAGCAAAUUACCAAUCCUGACAGGGAGGUAGUGACAAUAAAUACUGAUGGGCUCUUUGGGUCUUGUAAUCGGAAUGAGUACAAUUAAACCUCUCGAGGAAAUUGGAGGGAAGUCUGGUGCCAGCAGCCGGUAAUCACUCCAAAGCGGCCACACGCGUGACUUGUCCCCGGGCCUUUCUUCUAACCGCAUGCCCUUCACUGGUGUGUUCCAGGAUAAUACUUAAAAAAUUAG
rnacentral:rRNA from 1 species